rnacentral:rRNA from 1 species
CCUACGGGUGGCAGCAGUGAGGAAUAUUGGUCAAUGGGCGAGAGCCUGAACCAGCCAAGUCGCGUGAAGGAUGACGGCCCUACGGGUUGUAAACUUCUUUUGUCAGGGAGCAAUUGGGUCCACGCGUGGGCUUAGCGAGAGUACCUGAAGAAAAAGCAUCGGCUAACUCCGUGCCAGCAGCCGCGGUAAUACGGAGGAUGCGAGCGUUAUCCGGAUUUAAUGGGUUUAAAGGGUGCGUAGGCGGAAUAUCAAGUCAGCGGUAAAAAUUCGGGGCUCAACCCCGUCGUGCCGUUGAAACUGGUGUGCUUGAGUGGGCGAGAAGUAUGCGGAAUGCGUGGUGUAGCGGUGAAAUGCAUAGAGAUCACGCAGAACUCCGAUUGCGAAGGCAGCAUACCGGCGCCCAACUGACGCUGAAGCACGAAAGCGUGGGUAUCGAACAGGAUUAGAUACCCGAGUAGUC